CAGCCGUAAACUAUGCGCGUUAGGUGUAUCGGUGACCACGAGUUACCGAGGUGCCGAAGGGAAACCGUGAAACGUGCCGCCUGGGAAGUACGGUCGCAAGGCUGAAACUCAAAGGAAUUGGCGGGGGAGCACCACAACAGGUGGAGCCUGCGGUUUAAUUGGACUCAACGCCGGGAAGCUCACCGGAUAGGACAGCAGAAUGAUUGCCGGGCUGAAGACCCUGCAUGACUAGCUGAGAGGAGGUGCAUGGCGUCAGUGACU
rnacentral:rRNA from 1 species